UGUGUCUCUCCCUCCUACCUGUCGUCCAGCUAGGUUGACACAGAUGCGUUUUCGGAGGACCAGGUGCAUGUUAGCAGGGUGAGAGAGCUGAACUACGACCCUGACGAUCAGGUACACCCUUAGGUCAGGUGACACGCUGCGACUCAGCUGGGGACAGUUAUGUACCGUCGAGUCCCACGACGCCUCUGCACCAACCUGGGAGGAUCCGGUCUCCAUGGUGAAGCAGGAUUGGGAUGGUGACUGAAGAGCCAUUCACACACGUACUGAGGACAGAGAGACCGUAUCAUCACUGACUACAGCAUUAAUACAGUACAUUAUGGAUUUCUUUGUGCAGUGUGUUCAUGGCUCAGGUGACAAGCCACAAAUACAGUAGGGUUCGGUGAAACAGAGAGCUGCACAGCCGCGGGAUCAGACCUGGCUGCUCUGACGAACCCAUCAUGGUGUACGACUUCCCUGAGCCUGGUGAGGGCACACAGCCAAUCAAAAUCAGAGGAUCAGGAGGGCUCAGCCAAUCAAAUCACUGGAUCACUAAGACUCAGCCAAUCAAAUCUAAACAGGUGAGGCUCUGCCAAUUUAGUCACAGGGCCAAAAAAAUAGGUUUUGUUUUUGUUUGAGGUAACAAAUAAAUAAUUGGAAUACAAGUGUGUUUAAA